rfam:Ophiophagus hannah scaffold386.1, whole genome shotgun sequence.
AAUGGUGUUUAUGACAUAGUUAGAUUAAAGCCUUUGGGAAGUCUAAUUGCUGAUGUUGCCAUU